CAGCAGCCGCGGUAAUACGUAGGGUGCGAGCUUUAAUCGGAUUUACUGGGCGUAAAGCGUGCGCAGGCGGCCCGUUAAGACAGGUGUGAAAUCCCUGGGCUCAACCUAGGAAUUGCGCUUGUGACUGGCGGGCUCGAGUACGGUAGAGGGGGGUGGAAUUCCUGGUGUAGCAGUGAAAUGCGUAGAGAUCAGGAGGAACACCGAUGGCGAAGGCAGCCCCCUGGGCCUGUACUGACGCUCAUGCACGAAAGCGUGGGGAGCAAACAGGAUUAGAUACCCGGGUAGUCCACGCCGUAAACGAUGGGUACUAGCCGUUUGGUGCGCGAUAGCGCUGAGUGGCGAAGCUAACGCGUGAAGUACCCCGCCUGGGGAGUACGGCCGCAAGGUUGAAACUUAAAGGAAUUGGCGGG
rnacentral:rRNA from 1 species